GACGAACGCUGGCGGCGUGCUUAACACAUGCAAGUCGAACGGAAAGGCCCUGCUUUUGUGGGGUGCUCGAGUGGCGAACGGGUGAGUAACACGUGAGUAACCUGCCCUUGACUUUGGGAUAACUUCAGGAAACUGGGGCUAAUACCGGAUAGGAGCUCCUGCUGCAUGGUGGGGGUUGGAAAGUUUCGGCGGUUGGGGAUGGACUCGCGGCUUAUCAGCUUGUUGGUGGGGUAGUGGCUUACCAAGGCUUUGACGGGUAGCCGGCCUGAGAGGGUGACCGGCCACAUUGGGACUGAGAUACGGCCCAGACUCCAACGGGAGGCAGCAGUGGGGAAUAUUGCACAAUGGGCGGAAGCCUGAUGCAGCAACGCCGCGUGCGGGAUGACGGCCUUCGGGUUGUAAACCGCUUUCGCCUGUGACGAAGCGUGAGUGACGGUAAUGGGUAAAGAAGCACCGGCCAACUACGUG
rnacentral:rRNA from 1 species